UUCCUGCUUGCGUUCUCUUCUGCAGGUUGCAUAAACCAGUCCUGUUGUAGACCUUGUAGCAUCUGCUCUAGUGAUCUGGUUUGGGUUUCGGUAUUACUUGCAAUGGUUUGGAAGGAAAUGGGAAGUUUGCCUUCUAACUACAUUUUCUUUUUGAUUCAAGAACCCUAGCAGUUCUACAACCACUGGGCCUAAAACUAAAAUAGAGGGAAAAUAAAUAAAAGGAAGCAAAAACAUCUAAUUGGUAUGGCCUGGCAGCAUUGCCAGAGAGAGUCCUCAGGGACCCAGGCUUGUUCUGUCUUUUGCUCUGCCAUCCCUAGGACAGCACAGAAGAGGCAGUACAUCUUAACAAAAUCAGGGUUCUGGAAGAAGGGAGGGGGGGUGAAUGGUUGUUGCAAGCAAUCAACAGUUCAUACUUCAAUGGAAAGAAGGUGGGAUUUGAUUACUGGUCGCAAAUCUUCACUCUGUCACCUGCUAUCUGUGUGCCCUCAGUAAACAUCUAGAGGCUAGGAAUGCCUAACUUUCUGGGAAUUCAGUCCAGCAACUCUCAGCGUCAUUUUCCUAGCCGUCACUCAAAAUGGAGUCUCUCUGGUUCGAAUGCCUCUGACAAAACCGUGACUACAAUCAAGUCUCCCAUCAAGGAGCGAUGUCUCUUUCUCCACUUGAAUCUGGGCUGGCCUGGCCAAUAGAAUAUGGCAGAAGUGACAUUGUUCCGGUUCUGAGUCAAAGCCUGAGGAGGCCUUGCAUGUUUCCACUCUCUCUUGCAACCCUGCACUGCCACAUAUCAACAAGACUUAUCAACAAACCUGGGAUAGCCUACUAGAUGAUGAAAGAUAUAUGGCCCACUUGCUCCCAUCACUCCAGCUGAUAGCCAGCCAACCCUAAGAAGGAAAGUCAUCUAGCUGAUUAGUAGCUGACCACUGACACAAAAGUAAGAUCAUCUGAGACCAGAAGACAGCCCAGCUGAGCUCAGCUCAAAUU